CCUACGGGUGGCAGCAGUGGGGGAUAUUGCACAAUGGGGGAAACCCUGAUGCAGCGACGCCGCGUGGGUGAAGAAGUAUUUCGGUAUGUAAAGCCCUAUCAGCAGGGAAGAAAGAAGACGGUACCUGACUAAGAAGCCCCGGCUAACUACGUGCCAGCAGCCGCGGUAAUACGUAGGGGGCGAGCGUUAUCCGGAUUCACUGGGUGUAAAGGGAGCGUAGACGGCCGUGCAAGCCAGGAGUGAAAGCCCGGGGCCCAACCCCGGGACUGCUCGUGGAACUGUGCGGCUGGAGUGCGGGAGGGGCAGGCGGAAUUCCGGGGGUAGCGGUGAAAUGCGGAGAUAUCAGGAGGAACACCGGCGGCGAAGGCGGCCUGCUGGACCGCGACUGACGUGGAGGCUCGAAAGCGUGGGGAGCGAACAGGAUUAGAUACCCCUGUAGUC
rnacentral:rRNA from 1 species